rnacentral:rRNA from 1 species
AUGAACGCUGGCGGCGUGCCUAAUACAUGCACGUCGAGCGAACAGACGAGGAGCUUGCUCCUCUGACGUUAGCGGCGGACGGGUGAGUAACACGUGGAUAACCUACCUAUAAGACUGGGAUAACUUCGGGAAACCGGAGCUAAUACCGGAUAAUAUAUUGAACCGCAUGGUUCAAUAGUGAAAGACGGUUUUGCUGUCACUUAUAGAUGGAUCCGCGCCGCAUUAGCUAGUUGGUAAGGUAACAGCUUACCAAGGCGACGAUGCGUAGCCGACCUGAGAGGGUGAUCGGCCACACUGGAACUGAGACACGGUCCAGACUCCUACGGGAGGCAGCAGUAGGGAAUCUUCCGCAAUGGGCGAAAGCCUGACGGAGCAACGCCGCGUGAGUGAUGAAGGUCUUCGGAUCGUAAAACUCUGUUAUUAGGGAAGAACAAAUGUGUAAGUAACUAUGCACGUCUUGACGGUACCUAAUCAGAAAGCCACGGCUAACUACGUG